CCUACGGGUGGCUGCAGUGAGGAAUAUUGGUCAAUGGCCGGAAGGCUGAACCAGCCAUGCCGCGUGAAGGUCAGUGCCCUAUGGGCGUUAAACUUCUUUUGUGCGGGAGCAAUAAUGGUCACGUGUGGCCAGACGAGAGUACCGGACGAAUAAGCAUCGGUCAGAUCCGUGCCAGCAGCCGCGGUAAUACGGGGGAUGCAAGCGUUAUCCGGAUUUAGUGGGUUUAAAGGGUGCGUAGGCUGGGAGGUAAGUUAGCGGUUAAAUGCCCCGGGUCAACGGGGUGAAGUGCCAUUGAUACUGGCUGGCUGGAGUGCGGAUGAGGUGGGAGGAAUGUGUGGUGUAGCGGUGAAAUGCAUAGAUAUCACACAGAACACCGAUUGCGAAGGCAUCUCACGAAUCCGCGAUUGACGCUGAUGCACGAAAGCGUGGGUAUCAAACAGGAUUAGAUACCCGAGUAGUC
rnacentral:rRNA from 1 species